GCCAGCCCCGCGGCACCAGAAGUUGGGCUGGUCCAGGAGGAACGAGUCCGAGAACUGGCUGAAGCCGAUGAACAGCGCCGGGAUCCAGGUCAAGGUGCCUGUGCCCUCCGGAGGAAGCAGAGUGAAGACACCAUCUUGGAAGCAGAGACGGGGCCCUCGCUGGACACCAAACCUGCUGGCACCUUGAUCUUGCACUUCCUAGCCUCCAGAACUUGAGUCCUUCUGCAGGCCUGUGUGUGGAAACCACUGUUUCAGAUCAGUAAUGAAAGCCACAGGGUGACGUCUGUGUUAGGACAGCCUCAGACACCGCAUGGGCUUCUGCAGACAUUAAGCCACCGGACCCAAAUGCAGCUUCGUGAGGUGGAACUGCCAGUGGAACUGCCAUCCCCCCCUUCCUAAAUGAGGAAACUGAGGCCUAGAGAGGGUAAGUAACUCACCCACCAUCACAUGGGAAGCUAGCAACCACCUGCAACUUGAGUUCUGGUGUCCCUUUGGCCAUACACCGUAGAGUUGCACAAAUAUUCUAAAAGAGUCUGGAAAAAAAUUGUGGUCUUUAUCUGGGUUCUAAUAAUUGUGUAUAUCUUUGAUUCUUUUUCAACUCAAGACCAAAAGCUAAGUAAAUGUUUAGGAAGAAAACGUCUUUUGGAUUUUAGGUAAAAUGUUGCCUAACACUGUCGUGCUGGGAUGUCUAGGGCACCUGGAGGGGCUGCGAAGGCAGCUGUCCUUAAACCGCGCUCUGCCUGUCCCAUAUCAACAGGUGCUCGAGAGAGGUGGCCUUUUCUGAUUUUUGUCAUAGAGCAACCACAGUAAAAAUUUCACUACUGCAUACCGAUUCAGAGCUAUGGAAGCAUAUAAUGUACAGAGCUUUACAAUUUUUUAAGUCAUGUGAUUAAAUUUUGAAAUAGAAAACAUAGAAUAGGUUUGGUUCUGUGCUGUGUAGCCUGUUUCUAAAUAAAUCACAUAUUUGGAAAAAAAUACUCCAUAGAGAUUUAAAAAAGAACAAUUUCAAAGAUACCCUGAGGGAACUCAGUGACUCAGACUGCAGACAAAUAAAUUACACUUUUGGUUCAGACUAAUUCUAUAUGAGCGCUUCUAAAAAAAAUUAUGCAAACAAAUGUGAAGAAUUACUUCAAGUUUAAUUGGUUUAAUAUAUUAAUCAUCAUGUUGCAAAACCAGGAUACUAAGUGUGGGCUAGAAAUAAAAUCCUAAGCCCCCUGCUAACUGAAUGGGCUCGUCUUGGCCCAGGGGAGCCCUAGAAACACCUUACAACUGAGCUCCCAGCCACCAUGGGAUGGAAGAAAUAAAACACAAUGACAUGGGUAUGAUUUCCCUUCAUGAAUAUUCACAACUCCCCUGUAGCACUUCAGGGUGUUGACUGUGUAUAUCUGACCGCCCAGCUCUGUGUAAGUCUUGCCGUGUGCCCCUCUGAAGCCCAAGUGCCUGGCUUCGGGGCCUGCUCCCCACCUGCUGGAAUGGCGCCCAGCAGGCGGCUACCCUUGGUGAGAAAUGAAGCUCUCCGUUUUUUCCAAAGUAUAAACCUUGUUGAUUUUCUUAGUUAACAUAAGCUAGCAAAUUUAAUUAUAGAAAGAGAAUCCAAUUGAAGAAGAUUUUAUUUAUCAGGAAAAGAUUUACUUCCAUUUUCUCCAGAUUCCUAUGCAGCAAUGAGUGGUCCUACUUCACUGAGACCUUUGUAUCACUAGAGAAACCAAACGUUUAGUUUGCUUUCGCACCAUCAAAUUGGAAAGGAAACGGACUACUGGGAAUCAGCUGGGAGGAUCACAACUAGGCUGACUGUAACUCACCCACGACACAGCGGGUCGUCUUUUAUGCUUCAUGCUUACGUGGGGAAGUCCAUGUCCCCCCCAAAAGAAAUCUGUUUUUAAAAGGGAGAAGGAUCCGACAGGGUUUUGUCUACUUGCCUCCAAGGUGUGGAGCUGUGGCCAGUGUCAGUACAAUAUAAUCUUAGAACAACAUGGCGGGAGAAUGAGGUACUUCCAGUCAACUAAAAGUGUGUUCUGUAGAUCACUAAUCUUUGCUGAAUUCUAGGGAAGAAACAAAGAAUCUUAAAAAUCUUUCCUAUGGCCUCUUUUCUACAAUGCAUUAGAGUUUAAGUCUUCAUUUGAUUCUCCCUGGAAGAUUCACCAUCCUUCCUUCCACACCAUCCUUGUGUUUGCAGAGAGCAAACGCAAAGCAAGGCCUAGGCUUUGAGGUAGGUGCACACAGACAUUUUCUUUCAGCAGCAGUUCUUUCUUUGGGUUAAGAACAAGCUUUAAAAAACAAACAAACAAACAAACAAACAAACAAACAAAAGAUGUCACUACAUUGUCCUCCGCUGGUUAGUUUCUGAUAAGGGGUCUCUUGCUUUUUUGUUCCUCUGAGUGGGGUGUUUUUAUCUCUCUGGCUCUUUUUAAAGAUGUUUUCCUUGUCACUAGUUUUCAGAAAUAGGAUUAUGAAGUGCCCUGGUGAAGUUCUCUUUGUGUUUAUACUAUGUGCUUAGGCUGCUCAUUCAGUGCUUUUGAUCUUUAGAUUUAUAAUUUUUAUAAUAUUUGGGACACUUUUAGCCGAACCCCCCCCCCCCGCUCCCCCAAAAAGAGGAUGUGAGCUUUAGGGCCAGCAAGGCUCCAAAUUAGUUCGAACUGGAGAUAUCAGUGGGAUCUUAGGGAAGUUACUUAAAUGUUCUGAGUCUUGGUUUUCUCACUGGUAAAAUGAGGAUAACAUCUCCCUUGCAGGGCAACCAUAGGCCUAAAUAAUCCAGGUGAAGGUGGCAAGACAGAUUUCUCCCCAAACACGUACUCCCUGCUCACCACCAUUCCUAUCACCUUUGCCCUCUCUUCUCUAGAAGCACGAGGGAGGGAACAGACAGAAAGCACUUAACACCUCAACCUUUGAGCUCCAAAUAGGAGCCCUUCCUGUUCUUAAAUAUUUUAUUGGUAUGUGAGAUAAACAACAUGCACAAACCUUAAGUAUACAACUGGACUACAAAAUACUUGAAUUUCUAAACUGAAAGUACCACAAAAUGCCCAACACAACGCAUGAGAAAACACCCUCACGAAGGCACGUCGCUGAAAUAUUAAAACUUCAGUGACAAGAGGAGACCCUAAAAUCUUCCAGAGAGGGGGAAAAACGAGUUCACAUCCAAAGGCAAAAUAAUCCAAAUUUUAUAGGCGCUUCUCAGAAGCUGAAAUGAAGGUCACGGAUCCAGGGAAAAUGAUUCUUCACCUAAGAAAUUAUCUAGCCAGAGGUAGGGGAAGACGUUUUUUAGAUGUACACAGUUUGAAAAGAUCUACCUCUCAUGCAUACUUCCUUGUGAGCUAUUAGAGGACGUGCUGCCAAAAUAAAGGAGUGCACUGAGAACGAGGACGGUCGGGGCUCCAGGAAACAGCAGGCAAAAGUGACAGAAGCAAAGGACAUGCCCAGUCCGAGGCUGUGUGGGCGGGCAUGCCCUCAGCAGCAGGACGGGGCUUAGGAGAGAAGGAGCCGAGGAGCAAAAAUGGUAGGUAGACAGUCAUAUUCAGAGGGUUUUUAUAAUUCUGUUGAAGAUUUUCGGAAGAAUUAAUAAACCAAGCAAACAAAAAAACUGAUUAGCUUCAAAAAUGAUAACGAUCAUUGGAAAAAAUUAAAAAGAAGCAUGAGGGAUGAAUUAGAUCAGCGUUCCUGGCGGCGAGGCGGGUGCGGGCGGCCGGGCUGGCCGCGCUGGGAGGCGGCGGGGCGAGGCGGUGCGAGACGCUACAGCGCCGCUCCUGCAGCCGGAGCCGGUGGAUAAUGUCUGCAGUUGACGAGUCAAGAAAUAAUAGUCUGAUGAUAUUAUUUAGAAUUACAGGUAUAAAUUAGCUAAGAGUUAAAGGUGCCGUUUUUCAUCCCAAGACUUAUAGUUCUAUUUGAUUUUAAUUAUGUAAAUGUAUUUCAUUGAUAAUUUUUAAAAAGAAACUGCCAAGAAAAAGGAAACUAAGAGAUGACGCUUUGAGAGAAAGGCUUUUGAUUUGCAAGAGUGUGAGCUUGAGACUCGAGGAAGGUUGCUGUCUGAGGGCCCAGCUGUGAUGCUGGGCCAUGACGGUGCGUCAGGGAGAAUCGCUGGCUAGCGGCUGACUUGCUCUUUGGAACGAGGCCAGCGUCUGGACAGCUGGCGCAGACGGGACGAGAGGACUGGGUCCUGGCUGGGUCGACUCCACCUCGCCCCUCCACUCUUUUCACUUUGUAAAGCAAGCCUCUGGUAGGAAGGGGUAGUAAAUAAUUGAAGCCUCAGAAAUGUUUGGGAAUUUCAGAGUCUGGGGACCUCGUGCUCCACUUCCCAGGAGGUCUGAGAUUGCAGCAAACCUUGUAGAGAAGCCCCCUGCCACGGUGGGGCAGCACCAGAGAACACGUGGUGGCCAUGCAGCCUGGGCACCGAGGGCACCCAAGAACCUUCCCAUACCCCAUGGCUCCCAGGGGCACAUGAGAAGAUUCUAAAACUUCAUUCCCCCCUAAAUCAGGAGGUAAAAACAAUUGCCCAAUCUCAAUGGCUGAAAACAACGACAUUUGCUACAUGUCCACCUUGUCUCUGCUCCACAUUGUCCUCAUCCAUGGCCCCGGGGAGAUGGGCACACCACCGUGUGCCUGAGCCGCACAUCACUGCUGCUCACGUUUUAUCAGUCGGAACGUGCCAGAAGUCCUCCCAACAUCAAAGGCGUGGAAGAGCAAUCUCCCCAUGGACCCAGAAGACCAGACAGGUGGAAGUAAACCUGAGAGUUUGUGAAGCGACAGGGGCCUUGAGAUUGGGGACAAGAAGAUGAGCGUGCACAGACCUAGCAUGUGAGAUGAUGCAAGGCCCUUGGGCUCCUCGGGUGAUGCCAGUGGGGAUUGAUUCUAGCUCCCAAGGAGAAGCUGCACCCAGCGUGCAUGGAAGCAAGGCAGGAGAUGGCCUUGACCGGACCCUUGUCUCCCCAACUGAAGGCUGUGCGUGUCACUCAGAGCUUAGACGAGUGCUUGGGGAGAAAGAGCCAACACUGAAUUGCCUGCAUUUCAUGUGAAAUGACUGAGAAGCCUUGGGAGUCAUUACAGUUAAGUUUUUUGCCUCUGAGCAGAAUGCAGCUCAAGGCAAAGAUAAAAUGGACUUAAAGAGAAGCGAGCACCAGGCCUUUCUUGUGCGUUUGAGGCAGUGCCCUGUGACAUUGGCGCCUGCUCUGUAUGUAGACACCGCAGCGCGUGCUGGCAGGGAGCAGAGGCCCGGCGGAUGGUCGCUGCCACUGCUCUCCGUUCCUUCUCUACUCUAGCAUCUGGUUCUUGCCCCGCAGCUUCCAGGCUGAGGAGUCAAGACAGUAGCCAGGGCUCUCUGGAGAGGAGCCCUGCUCGGAAGAAUGCUUCUGGUGUUCAGGCUGUAAAGCCGGGCCGUCCCGUGAGACGGCAGCCGGCCACACCCCGCGAGGUCGCGCCGAGCACUGCCUGCCGUCUCUCUGACGGACGCGUCUGCCACAGCAGGUCCAGAAGUAUCAUGUAUGUGAUCGCACCUAAUCUCCCAAGUGAAAACAAUCAUUUCUGCCUCAUGUCUGUUUUCUAAACUCGCAAUGAGGAAUCGAGAAACGGUGUUUCUCCUCGGUCUCGGGUUUGGGAAAGGCUGGCAGCGGAUGGGUGGAGAGGGCUCCUGUGGGGCGCUGGCUCCGGUCCUGUCUGCUGCCGGCGGCGGGGGUGGGGGUGAACGCUUGCUCCCUCCGGGCCUCGGUUUGCUCAUCUGCAACCUGAGUAGACAAGUGGAUCGGACUGAUGGUCUUUCAAAGUCCCCUCUGUUUUUAACAUUCAGAUCAUUUGGAAGCCAAGAGCAAGGGAGGCGAAGGGAGGAAAAGGAAGUGAGAAAGGAGAAAAGGGAGGGAGCAGCCGAACAGAGAAAGAGGACAAGAAGGAGCAGAAACGGGAAGAGAGAGAACACCUAGAGCUGCAUUUGUUGAGAAUCAAGUACAUGUCUUGACAUUGCAUGUCCUUAAUGGGGGUUUAUUAAAUGAUGGAGCCACAGCAGAGCGAAGAGCCCUCAGCAGUGCCUCUCAAAAUAGAAGUCUCGGUAUUUAUUCAGGAGACACUAAUUUCAUUUUCCAGGGAGAAUUUUCAGUAAAAGGGUUGACAUGGGCAAUUAAAUUCUUAACUUUCAACGUAUCUGCCUAAAAGCUGUAAGAAUAAUGGCAGUGUCUUGUAUUUCCUAUGAGCCAGCACUUUCCAAGGACGUAUAUUACCUAACUCAGUCCUAACGACAACAUUACGCAGCGAGUCCUACUCAAAUCCCCGUGUGCGGUGGAUGCACACUACAGCUCAGCGAGCUUAAGCCAUUAGUCUAGCAAGAAGCACCAAGGUCUAUGCUAUCCCCAAGCCCGCCACUCCAGGGCUUUCCACUGUGAAUGAACCGGUCCCUUAGACAUGGGCACUUGGCUGGUUUCCAAGCUUUUAGUAUCACAAACAAUGCUGCAGUGAAUAAUCUUGUCAUAUGUCAGUUCAUACUUGUCAGAUAUGAUCCCGGAGUGGAGUUGCUGUGUCAUAGGGAACACAUUUGACAUUUUGAUGGCGAGUGCCCUUGGUAGGGCUGCAUUACUUUGCAGUCCCACUGAGAAUGAGCACCAGGGCCUGCUUCCCGAGUGCCCAGCCAACUGAGCAUUGUGUCACACUUCCGGAAUUUUCUCAGUCUGAUCAAGGAAAAAUUGUAUUCUAGUGUACUUUUAAUUUUUCAUGUCUCUGAUUAUGAGUGCUUGCAAGUAUUUCAGACCAUUUGUUGAACUUUCCAUGACCUUUGCCCAUUUUCCUCUUGAUUUUGUGUCCUAUUUUUCAUUUCUGGGAGCUAUUCACAUGUUUUCGAGAAGCCCUUUUCUGUGUCGUGAGCUAUACACAUUUCUUGUGGUUUUGGUCUUUUUAUUGUAUUCUGCUUUGGUUUUUGUUUUCUAUACAGAUUUGUUUUAAAAAAAUUGUAUUCACAAUUAUUAAUCUUUUCUUUAUGGAUUUUGGAUUUUGAGACAGAGUUAGAUAUGCCAGCCUACUCCAAGGUUAUUCUAUCAAUCAGGGUCUCAAUGGGAAGCAAAUGGCACACUCAGAUUAGGAUAAUUCAAGAGGGGUUUACGUACAAAGGGACCAAUUACAUAAAUCCUAUAAGGAUUUGUUGUAGGAGUGUGGGCAAAUUUUAGGGGACUCCCAUGGGGUGGUGCAGGAAUCAGAAUCUAGCAGUAAGAGAGGUGUCAUCACCCCUAUGCCCCAGGGACAUGGUGACAGAGAAGUAUUGCAGCCUGGAAGGAGAGUUGUGAAGACCAGGCUGCCCAGAGGAGAGUGGGGCAUCUGUCAGGAGAAACAGAGACCUGCAGGAGGAGCCCAGGAAAUCUGGUUCUCUGUCCUCAUUCCCCUCUUUCGCUCCCAUGUCUUGUCCCAGCUCCCCAUGGGCCCCACACAGGGUGGUCCUCCAGGGCUGAGGGUACAGGAGAGUGGGUCUGAGCUCUGUGGGGGUUGGGGGCAUUGGAAGAGAUCCACACCUUCUAGGACUUCUAUGGUUUUACUUUUUUUGAAUGUGAAACUUUGAUCCACUGGAGUUUAUCUUGGUGCACUAUGUGUAGUGUGGCUUCAACUUUGCUUUUCCGCAAGGGCUACCCAUUGCUCCAGGGCUAAAGUCCACCUUUACCCACUGAUGACAGUAUCCACAUUUACCUAUCAAUUUCCUGCGUACACGGGGGUCUAUUUCUGGACUUUCUCUUCUAUUCUAUCUGGCAACCUCUCUACUCAAGGUUCAUUCUGUACUAAUUACUACGACCUCCUGACAGGUUUUAACAACUGGGGAGACCAAUCCCUCUUCAUUUUUCUUCUAUUUUAGAGUUUUCUUGGGCUAUGUUUGCUUUAUUUUGAAUGCAUCUGCUUGCCUGCUUCUGAAGGAAGAAAAUUUGUUAGGAAAUUUUGGGAGACUGUGUUAAAUUUAUAUGUUUAUUUAUGGAGACUCAAAUCUUUAAAACAUAGUUGAUUUCUUUAAAACAAUUUAAAGAAAGAAGUUGACUUCUUCUUUAAAACAAUGAUGUGCAAAGAAGUCUGGCAGACCGCACCUUACCAAGUGAGAGAAGUUAUCAUUCCCAACAACAGGACUGCUGUGGUUUGAAUGUAGGAUUUCAGACAAAAAUGUAUAACCUAAAUCAAAUUGUGAGGAGAUGUUAUAUUAAUACAAAAUUAAACUGGGGACAUUCUCUAAAGGAAGGGGCCUGUACUCUUAAAAAAUUUCAGUAUCUUUAAGUAUAAGGAAAGGUUGAAGCCCUUCCCCAGGUCAAAGGAGACAGAGGAGGCGUGAAAACUACAUGCACUGUGCUUAGAUUCUGGAUCGGGGAAAAACAUCCAUAAAGAGCAUUAAUGGGCCAAUUGAUGAAAACUGAAUAUGGACUGUAGUCCAUAUCAUAGUACUAUAUCAAUGCUAAAUUACCUAAAUUUGAUCAUUGUACUCUGGUUAUAUAAGAAUACUUGUUCUUAUAAAAAUCAUGCUGAGAUAUUUAAGGGUAAGGGGCAUGGUGUCUGCCAUUAGCUUUUAAAUAGUUCAGAAAAAUAACAAUAUGCACAUAAGUUUAGAUAGCAAUAAUAAGGCAAACGUGGCAAAAUGUUAGUAAUGAUCUGGGUGAAGAGCAUAUAGGAAUUCUUGCAACUCUUUUGUAAAUUUAAAAUUAUUCAUGAGGAAAACUAAAACAAAAGAAAGUUUCGGUUAGUGAAUAGGGUGAAGAAAUGUUAAAAGGCAUGGACUCCUUCCUGCUUUUAGCCAUUUUGAACUUGAUUCUGCCUUUUAACACAUUGUCCCAAAACCCAGAAGAAUAUAAAUCCAUUAAUUAAUCCACGGAAGUCAAUAUUAUUUUUGAUUCCCUUAAUUAAUCUCCAUUAUUUUGGUGGCACACAGGCAGCCAUGGCCACGGGUCCCUUCUUCCUGCAGUGUCCAAUCAGCCGGUUUCACUGGGCGUUGGGCGUGCUGAGCUAGAGAAUGUGCAGGAAUGGGGCUUCCUCCUGGGAUUUGGGUUUCCCUAGUGUCAGUGGCCAGAAAAUGAUAUUUUAUUUUGAUUUUCAACGCCAACAGGAAAUCUUCCUACAGCUUUCUCGGGCCGGUCCCCCAGUGACAAGAGCGCUGGCGUUGCUGCCGAGCCCGGCCACCCCUGGCGGAGGGCUCCCGGCCCCGGCCGGCCUGGCGCCGUGCACUUGCUCGCAGGGUUUCCUCAGAACAGCCUGAUGUGGAGGUGCCCCACCACGCCCAUUCGACAGAUGUGGGAAGCGAACUCACGCUCCUCGGCAGGGGCCCGGUGGGCUCCACGCUGGCGGGCCGCUCCUACAGCGAGCCCGCCUCCUGUGUGCAGCCGCCGCGCGCCUCAGGGCCGGCAGCCGGGCCUCCAGCCGGGGCCUCCGCCGGGUGCCACAGGAAAGCUGUGAGGAACAACCCAUAGUCCUAGCACGGACACGCUUCGCCGGCACAGUGCGCACCCUGGGUGGCGAGGAAGCCAGCCUCUGGGAGUCAGGGGAAGGGCUUGUGCGCAGCUGUGUGCCCCAGGGAAGGGCUCACAGACAAACACUGUGCAUCCAGAGCAACACGCAGGUCAGGGACAAAUGGAAGCAGAUGCUCCUUGUCAAGCAAACGCAGAAUCGCCGAGGUGGGAGCAGGAAGGAGCAGCAGAGGGUGCAGCAGGGGGGCAGGGGCCUAGUGGGUAGAGGAGGGGCUCCCUCCCAGGCCAGUGGACUCGGGGUCUUUGAUGAAUGAAGUCCUGCAUUUCCUGACUGUCCUGUUGUGCUUUGUGUGUGUGUGUGCGUGUGUGUGUGUGUGUGUGUGUGUGUAUAACAGAGCGAGCGAGAGAGAGAGAGAGAGAUUGAGGCUCACCUGGAUUACGUAAUGAUGCCAGGGUUAUAAUUGGAUCCUACUAGGUUUGACCCCCAAAUCUUGGCACAGCCAGAUUAAGGAGUGGCCUAGCUAGACAGCAAUAGCCCAAAGUGCCACUCAUUGUGGGCCACUGCAAUGGACACUGUGCUCCACCUGGGUCCUGUAGCUCCUUCUUCUUGUUCCUGUGUGCCCAAGCCCCAGUGCUAUGGUUUGGAUAUUUGUCCCCUCCAGGCCUCGUGUUGAAAUUGUACUCCCAUUGCCGGUGUUUGGGUCGUGGGCACGGAUCCCUCACGAAUAGAUGAGUCCCCUCCCCUGGGCGUGAGGGAGUUCUUGCUCAUGAGAGCUGGUGGUGAAGAGCCGAGCACCUCCCCUCCUUGCUUCCUCUCUUGCCAUGUGACCUCUGCACACGCUGGCCCUUCUUUGCCUCCCACCAUGAGUCGCAGCACCUGAGCCUCGAGAGCAGUGGUGCUGGCACCGUGCAUUUAGGCCAGCCUGCAGAACCAUGAGCCAAAUAAACCUCUUUUCUUUAUAAGUUACCUGCCUCAGAUAUUUCUUUCUAGCAACACAAAAUGGGUGAAGACACCUGGCAUCCUUGUGCUUUGUUUCUGAUGGUCAGCACCUAUGUCCUGCCCACCCUUGGGCACCUGCAGCCACCAGGCCUUCACCCAUGGAGCUCUGAAGGUAUCUGGGAGUGACAACCCCUCAGGGGCUGUCCUUGGCAAUGACUAAUUGGUGGAGGAGUAUGAUAGCCUGGGUCCCUUGCUUUGACAUGGGAUGAACUCCGAGGAGGGGCAGGGGCCUCGCAUCCCUCGCAUCCUGCUGUGCUGUCCCCGGUGCUUUGUGGAUGUCCCCAGUAGAACUGCCUCUGUAAAUCGCUUGCACACAUAUCCUGCUCUCAGGAGCUGCUUCUGUGGAGCCAGACCUAAGACGCCCACUGUCCUAGCAAUGUGACGAGGAAAAGAAAAGUGACAUUAAUCUACUCAGAUGUGGGCCAGAGAGAUCGACGUGGUUGGACGCUGGCUGUGGUGGAGGGUGAGACCUCCCCACUUCGAUGGGCUGGCCAGAGUGCCUUCUCGGGGAAGCAGGCCCACUCCCUGUGGGCGCCUUUGUUUUCUGGUCGAGGAAUAGAAAUUGAGGGCCAGAGUGGACUCGCUCGGGACGACUGCAGUGCGGAAGCCUGGCUGGACGGGCAGGGAGCAGGGAAGCUGGGGGAGCACUCGGCUCCCCUAGACGGGUCUGAAUGGUAUAAAACUUCACACAGGGGUGCCCGUGUGUGUCCAGCUGACUCUGAGGAGGACGCAGCGAGGGGAAGAGCUGCCAGGAGCACGGCUGUGCUCCAAGGCCUCUGUGCGGCACUGAGGCGUCCUUGAAGGAGGCGGUGUGGCAGUGGCAGGAGGUUCGCCUGUGCUCGGUGUCCUGUGAGGUCCCGUCACUGCCCCCACUGGACAGGUGUUGGAAGUGAGCUCAUCCUCCCUGCCAGGUGGUCGGACAGUGGAACCAGAUGUGACUCGCCAUGGCUUGUGUGGGGCAAGUGCCACCUGGGUGGCCUGGGUGGGCCACAAUUUUUCAUCAGGAAGUCUGAGAAGUUUGGGAGCUUCCGGGUCAGGAGCCAGCCCCCACACACCGGCCACCUGUCGACUGUCUUUGGUGGAACUUCUGUGUCAUGAGCAAAUUAACUCAACUUGGGGGUCUGACAACCACCAUAAAGAUGCGGCCCAGCUAACUCCGUGGCAGAGAACAGUCACCAAGCUAUGAACUGCCCGUCUGUGUAGACGUCAGCUGUCAAGAGUAAGGGUCAGCUUGCCUGUAGGAGACUCACGUCAUCCCAUGUGACGGCACAGGACGAGCUCCCAGGCUGCAGACACCAGAGGAGCGAGGCCUGCCCCUGCCCCUGCCCUUGGCCCUGGUGGCUUCCUGCCCAGUAGGGGGUGCCAAGCCGUGUCUCAUUCCGAGGUAGAAGGCAGGACCUGGGAGCUGCUCAGCACCAGAGAGCCACUCCCACUGAGCAGGGGCGAGUGAGGCACCUGCAGUGGGGACUCAGGGCAGGCGGAGGCUGAACGGCAGAGUGGUGUUGAGCACUCAGGCAAUAGCAGCACCAACGUCAUAGGGCUGCUGUGGAAAGUAGAGAUCAUGACGCAUGCCAAGUGUUUGGAGGAGUAGCUGGCCCAGAAAAAGAGCAUACUAUGUGUUGCUCUUAUAUAGCACAUACCCACAUAUGGAAUUUUACA